rnacentral:rRNA from 1 species
UACGUAGGGACCGAGCGUUGUCCGGAAUCAUUGGGCGUAAAGAGCGUGUAGGCGGCCUUUUAAGUCCUGCGUGAAAUCCUGCGGCUCAACCGCAGACGGUCGUGGGAAACUGGAAGGCUAGAGUGCGGGAGAGGAGAGUGGAAUUCCCGGUGUAGCGGUGAAAUGCGCAGAUAUCGGGAAGAACACCCGUGGCGAAGGCGGCCUGCUGGGCAGUUGCUGACACUGAGGCGCGACAGCGUGGGGAGCAAACAGG